rnacentral:rRNA from 1 species
GAUGAACGCUGGCGGCGUGCCUAAUACAUGCAAGUCGAGCGAACAGACGAGGAGCUUGCUCCUCUUACGUUAGCGGCGGACGGGUUAGUAACACGUGGAUAACCUACCUAUAAGACUGGGAUAACUUCGGGAAACCGGAGCUAAUACCGGAUAAUAUAUUGAACCGCAUGGUUCAAUAGUGAAAGACGGUUUUGCUGUCACUUAUAGAUGGAUCCGCGCCGCAUUAGCUAGUUGGUAAGGUAACGGCUUACCAAGGCAACGAUGCGUAGCCGACCUGAGAGGGUGAUCGGCCACACUGGAACUGAGACACGGUCCAGACUCCUACGGGAGGCAGCAGUAGGGAAUCUUCCGCAAUGGGCGAAAGCCUGACGGAGCAACGCCGCGUGAGUGAUGAAGGUCUUCGGAUCGUAAAACUCUGUUAUUAGGGAAGAACAAAUGUGUAAGUAACUAUGCACGUCUUGACGGUACCUAAUCAGAAAGCCACGGCUAACUACGUG